AGCGAACGCUGGCGGCAGGCCUAACACAUGCAAGUCGAACGAAGUCUUCGGACUUAGUGGCGGACGGGUGAGUAACACGUGGGAACGUACCUUUUGGUUCGGAACAACUCAGGGAAACUUGAGCUAAUACCGGAUGAGCCCUUAGGGGGACAGAUUUAUCGCCGAAAGAGCGGCCCGCGUUAGAUUAGAUAGUUGGUGAGGUAAAGGCUCACCAAGGCUACGAGCGAUAGCUGGUCUGAGAGGAUGAUCAGCCACACGGGGACUCAGACACGGCCCAGACUCCUACGGGAGGAAGCAGUGGGGAAUCUUGCGCAAUGGGCGAAAGCCUGACGCAGCCAUGCCGCGUGAAUGAUGAAGGUCUUAGGAUUGUAAAAUUCUUUUACCAGGGACGAUAAUGACGGUACCUGGAGAAAAAGCCCCGGCUAACUUCGUGCCAGCAGCCGCCGUAAGAC
rnacentral:rRNA from 1 species